GCCACCAUGUGAAGAAGGUCCUUGCUUCCUCUUCAUCAUCUAUCAUGAUUGCAAGUUUAGGCCUCCUCAGCCACGUGCAACUGUUUAUUUCACCCUGAAGCCAAAGAGAACUUUCUGAAAGACAAAUUUGCUCAUGCUAUAAUAGUUACUGACAAAUAUUUAAAGGACUAAGUUGUGUAAGGAAUCUACACUGUCAGGCAGAACCAGGAUUCCUGGGAAGUAGAACUGGGCUGCUUCAUAAGUCUGACUUCAUAUGACAGCUAGAUUCAAAAGGAUGAAAUCAGUAGAGGUGAGACCUCUUGAUGCCUUGGCUUGGAAGUCACAUAUUCUAUUGGCCAAAGCAAAUCACAAGGCCACCACAAAUUCAAGGAGAUGAAGAAAUAGACUCUACCUCUCUUGAUUGGGUGAGUAGCAUUGUCACUUUCUAGGGUGGAAGAAAUAGCCCUUAUAAUUAAUUUUUGACACUGAAGAUCUCUAUUCCCUGAGACUGCCAUGGGGAAGGAGAAUUUUAAUUUCAGUCUUUUCUUUGUACUACCUCUUCCAUAGGUUGUGUCACCCAGUUCUGAGAUCUUUCAAAGCACUGGAAGAGAACCGCCAAGUUCUCAGCUGUCAGUGCAAACUGGUGUCACUGAGAUAUCCAUUGUCCUAGCUCAUAUAAUGUCCAGCAAGAUUACAGUGCAGUGCAUCUCUUGGUGUUCCUUCAGCCUCCCAUGCUUCCCCCUGGCCUCUCAGGUCAGUUCACUUCAACAUUUAUUUCCUGAAUGCCUUCUGUGAAUAAGGCAUUUAUGUAGUCACUGAGAAUACAAAGAUGAAUACAACAUAACUGUGCUCUCUUGCUACUCACAGCUUAUAAUAUGGUCAGUUCUUCAGAGGAAGAGGAAAAUUUCAUCUGGCCUCAAAUCUCAGUGAUCGCAUUUGUGGGAACAUAAUGUCUGAAGUAAAGACUAAGUAGAAGUCUGACAAGCAAAAAAAGAAAAAAAGACAAAGACACUCCAAGCAAGAGAAACAACCUGAGCAGAAGCACCCAGGUAUGACAGAAAACGUAGAGAGGAAAGGCUUCCAAAAGCAACAGAGAUUCACAGGAAGCUCCACAGAAAAACGGGUGGUGCAAAAAAUUAGGCAAGAGGGAAAAUGGGGUUAGGCCAUGUACCAACAUGUUCAUCAUUAUACAGUGAUUGGACUUGGAAAGGCAGAAGAGAAGCAAGAGCCAGCAUCCUCAUCUUAUAAACAGAAAAGCUGUCUGGGCGUGGUGGCUCAUGCCUGUAAUCCUAGCACUUUGGGAGGCCAAAGCGGGCGGAUCACGAGAUCAGGAGAUCGAGACCAUCCUGGCUAACACAGUGAAACCCCGUCUCUACUAAAAAUACAAAAAAUAUUAGCCGGGCAUAGUGGCGGGCGCCCGUAGUCCCAGCUACUCGGGAGGCUGAGGCAGGAGAA
rnacentral:lncRNA from 10 species